rnacentral:lncRNA from 1 species
UCUGAUAAACCCAACAUGGAAGUGGAUAUUUUACUCUUAUAUUUCAGUUAUGUCUCUCAUUGCUUUUAUUCACAUUAAAGAGAUUCAAUUUCGUUCUUAAUUCCUUUCAUUCCAUCAGAUUCUGUUUAAUUAAACCAGGAUCAAACCGGAAUUAAAUUAAAAUCAAGUAUCAGCGGCCUUUGUACCACCACCCAGUGGCUCCAAACCGCUGGGUCGCCUUCUCCACAGCGGGCUGUUUGCGCCGCUCCGCCAAGCCGCUAGCGAGUUCAAGUCUUUCCGACCGACGUCCAGUGCCCACUGUCAUUGAUCGCUGCAGACCCGCUAAGAGGUGAGCUCCGACUUCUUCUUCUUCUUCUUCUCCACGCUCGAUCUGCGACCUUUCCACCAUUAGAGCACCGGUCCAAGAUCUUCGAUCAACAGAAACCUCUGUCAUCACCUCAAUCUCGCCGUCGUAGCUUCCAAUCCAAUCAUGGCCUCCUUCCUCGGAGCCUCCAUAGGCGUGAGUCUACAAUCCGCCAGCUUCUCCUCGUGUCGCUCUCAGCUUCAAGUCGUCGUCGUGGUAGCCUGUCCCGAAGCUCAUGAGUCGUUGCCUCUCGCCGUCGCGGCCAUUUUCAGAUUGAAAAGCUCGGGAGUUCCGCAAUGGUGGAUUUUCGAUUAUUUUCAUAGUUGACCCUUCAACCUUUUGGUUCUUCUGAAAUGGAUCCCAAAACUCUCGACAUUACAUAUGCGUUCUCACGAAUCAACCUCAGACUUUCGAUUAGGCAACCACUAACUGCCUAAACUCCUUUCUAUCCAUACCAGCAGAAGUAAAUUGUUACUGAAAGGCUAUUAUAUCAACAAGCAAACAAACGAUCAAUGUAGCUUUGUAAGCAACCGUCGUGAUUUAAACUAUGUGUUUAAGCAUCCACAACAUCUUAGAAGCUACUACCUGUGCCCAUCACAUGCCCACUAUGUGUUUAGCAUUAUACUAUUUUGUUUAAACUCAAUUGCUAUAACGAUGUCGUACAACAUUCAUGUAGUUUUGCUUCCUCUAAUUGAGCUAUUUGCUUAUUUAGCUAAUAUAAGCAGUAGCAGUCUAAUAUUAUUUCUUAAACGAAAUUUCUAUCUUUC